rnacentral:rRNA from 1 species
ACGAACGCUGGCGGCGUGCUUAACACAUGCAAGUCGAACGGAAAGGCCUCUUUCGGGGGGUACUCGAGUGGCGAACGGGUGAGUAACACGUGAGUAACCUGCCCUUGACUUUGGGAUAACUUCAGGAAACUGGGGCUAAUACCGGAUAGGAGCUCCUGCUGCAUGGUGGGGGUUGGAAAGUUUCGGCGGUUGGGGAUGGACUCGCGGCUUAUCAGCUUGUUGGUGGGGUAGUGGCUUACCAAGGCUUUGACGGGUAGCCGGCCUGAGAGGGUGACCGGCCACAUUGGGACUGAGAGACGGCCCAGACUCCUACGGGAGGCAGCAGUGGGGAAUAUUGCACAAUGGGUGGAAGCCUGAUGCAGCAACGCCGUGUGCGGGAUGACGGCCUUCGGGUUGUAAACCGCUUUCGCUCAUGACGAAGCUUUGUGUGACGGUAGUGGGUAAAGAAGCACCGGCUAACUACGUG